AAUUAUCAACGCGACCGCUUUGCGAAAAGCGGUCUGCGCUUGGACUUUGGAGCGUGUGCGGGUCUCUUGCGAGAUCCGCUCCUCUUGAAAUGCAUUAGCGGUUUGCCCAUUCGCAGAUCUUGCUCCGGCGUGAUAACUAUCUACGUCGCCGCGGAAAUGCCCCUAUCCGGCGCAGCUGCUCCUAAUCGUCGCUCCUUGCGACAAAAAACCCCUAUGACG
rnacentral:misc_RNA from 1 species